AGAAGGAAAAAGAAGCAAAAC
rnacentral:sRNA from 1 species